CCAUCCCCUGAUAGACCUUGAACAAGCUGCUGCUGUUCUUACGGUUUGCACUAAGAUGCAGGAGAAAAGAUCCCUGCGCUUUCUGUCUGUGUGGCAGUCCAGAUUGAACUGGGAAAUACAUCU
rfam:Tupaia chinensis contig97230, whole genome shotgun sequence.